UCCCAAACAGUUGUACUAGCUCAUAACUAAUAAGGUCAUAACAGUCAAAUGUCGUUAUGCAGUUGACCAAACUAUAAAGUGUUGAGCUCUGUUGAGAUUUAUGGCACUUUAGUUGAAUAGGGCUCAAUAUUUUAUAGCUAAUUUCUGUGAAACGCUCAAAAAGUUUAAGAACCAUACAGUAGUGUCAUGACGUUAUCGACGUCAUGACGUUAUGGUGGGUGGGACUUAUCUCUCCCUCAGGAAUGUGGAGUACGCCAUCUUGAAUUUUACCUGAUGCGGGAAGUUUUGGCCAGCACGUGUGGAUAUGGAACACAGUUUAAUUUGUUUUAAUUUGUUUGGAAUGCGCAAUUUUAUCCCCCGCUUCAAACCACAACCUCCUCAGUUAUUUUCAUUAGUCUUAUUGCCCUCGUCUUCUCAAGCGCCGUCUUAUCAUCAGCCCAGAUUUGGUAUAUGUGUGUGUCUUUGAGAUCAUCUCGAAAACAUUUUAACAGUUCAGAUAUCUGAGUACAAAGAAUGCUACAGAGAGUCAGCGUAUCACCAUCAGACCUAUAGGAACAAAGUGAUGAAAAGGAUGAAAAUGAGACAAGCCCUUGUCCUUUGUGCACGACCUGUGUACCUGCGUGAAGAUGUCUUCAAGUUCUUCAGGAACUGCAAUUUACCAGAUGGUCCAGACCUCACUGACACUCCGGUGGCUCUCUUGACAGUCUUCAUGUAUGACCCUACUGAUGGUGCCCUCUUCAGCCCUGAGAGGAUCAGUAUUGUCGUGGAGGAUGAAAUACUUGUGAGUGGUCCCAUAAAUCUGGUUGACUCAUUUCUCCUGCUCUUUGGGUACAUCUAUGCAAUAGACUUUCAGUACCCAAAGAAUCAAAAGCUUGACACAUUGACAUUUAUCCCAAAAGUUGCCAUGCGUCUUGAGGACAACAAACCACUGAAAGGGCGUCUAUUGAUGCUGAAGAAUGAUUUGUUAAAUGAGUGGAGAAUGGAUUAUUUGUUUAGAUUUUUAGGAUAUUUAGGUAUUUAGUGUUUUUCCCCCCUCUUUAUAAAUGUAACCCUUUGCCUCUUUUACCUCAGAUUUAAGACGUGACACUGUUUGCCUGUUCUACCUCAGAUGUAAUACAUUGAUUGUUAAAUAUGAAAAACAUUGACAUUCAAUUAAUGCACUAUACAUGUUUAAUGUUUUGUUGCCUUAGGGGUUGUGUACACCAAAACUUUUACGCCCGCGGCCGGCGCAUGUUUUCAAUUGUUUCCAAUGGAAGCUCGGCGUUUUUCAAAUAAGCCAGCAGCUAGCGGGUUUUUUCCGCGCUGAAAACCGGCGCUCGGCGGUUUUUCCGCGCUCAGCGCUGAGCGUCGAGAGUUGAAAGAGAUUCAACUUUGGGAGAAAAGCUCCGCUCGUCAAUGUCAGUUCUCACACGGCUGCCCAAUCACAGUGGAGGAGGGGCGGGACAUUACCACAGCAACCAACCGGCUCGCAGCUGAAGUAUCACAGCUAUCAAAGCGCUCUUCUGAAGAAAGCUGGUACUCAGCUGAAAAACAGCUGGCAUUUGGCGUCCUCAAGGCGUUUUCAGCCGCGUUUAAAAGUUUUGGUGUGUCCAGCCCCUUAUGUCUACCUUGAUGUUGCCAGUUGAAGUAUGGCACAGUAGAAACCAGCACUUUAUUCAAAUGUUUAAUAAAAAAAAGUGAUUUGCAGCCUUCAAGGUACAGUAGUGGCAAAAUGUUUUUAAAUAGUGUUAAAUGACUCCACAUUCUAAUUGUUGUCAUUGCUGUUGAGGAUAGAUUAUACUUAGAAUCUUGUUAAAUUAUAACAAAUCCUUUGUGAGUUUUAAUCCUAAUUUUUACUGAAUAAUAUGAAAUAUUAUUAGACCCAAAAUACUGAAUCUACCCUCUGAAGCAAUGGCCACUUUCAGAAUAUGGAAAUAAUAACACAGUGUACUUUAUAAAAACAAAGUAUGUUUUAGAGUCGUUUUCUUUUGUUUUAGUUUAUCACAAGCACUUUGUUUUGACAGAUCUGUAUUAAUUUGUGCCUUUUAAAAGCACAUUGUGUUUAAUAAAAAAGUUGUUAAAUUGUCA